rnacentral:rRNA from 1 species
AUAGCGUAUAUUAAAGUUGUUGCAGUUAAAAAGCUCGUAGUUGAACUUCAGACCUGGCUGGGCGGUCAGCUUAACAGCGUGUACUGUCUGGCUGGGCCUUACCUCUUGGUGAGCCGGUGUGCCCUUUAUUGGGUGCGUUGGGGAACCAGGACUUUUACCUUGAGAAAAUUAGAGUGUUCAAAGCAGGCCUAUGCCCGAAUACAUUAGCAUGGAAUAAUAAAAUAGGACGUGUGGUUCUAUUUUGUUGGUUUCUAGAGUCGCCGUAAUGAUUAAUAGGGAUAGUUGGGGGCAUUGGUAUUGAGUUGCUAGAGGUGAAAUUCUUGGAUUUACUGAAGACUAACUACUG